GACAGAGGGUGCAAACGUUGUUCGGAUUUACUGGGCGUAAAGCGCGUGUAGGCGGUCCGGUAAGUCCGCUGUGAAAGUCGGGGGCUCAACCCUCGGAUGCCGGUGGAUACUGUCGGGCUUGAGUACGGAAGAGGCGAGUGGAAUUCCUGGUGUAGCGGUGAAAUGCGCAGAUAUCAGGAGGAACACCAAUUGCGAAGGCGGCUCUUUGGUCUGUAACUGACGCUGAGGCGCGAAAGCGUGGGGAGCGAACAGG
rnacentral:rRNA from 1 species